rnacentral:rRNA from 1 species
UACAGAGGUCUCAAGCGUUGUUCGGAUUCAUUGGGCGUAAAGGGUGCGUAGGCGGCGCGGUAAGUCGGGUGUGAAAUCUCGGAGCUUAACUCCGAAACUGCAUUCGAUACUGCCGUGCUUGAGGACUGGAGAGGAGACUGGAAUUUACGGUGUAGCGGUGAAAUGCGUAGAUAUCAGGAGGAACACCGGUGGCUAAGGCGGCUCUCUAGUACGGUACUGACGCUGAGACGCGAAAGCGUGGGGAGCGAACAGG